GAGAUUGUAGUUUAGUUGGUUAGAGCACCGCCCUGUCAAUGCGAAAGUUGCGGGUUUAAGCCUCGCCAGUCUCG
rfam:Beta vulgaris subsp. vulgaris Bvchr4.sca012.con0098.1, whole genome shotgun sequence.